UACGUAGGGUGCGAGCGUUGUCCGGAAUUACUGGGCGUAAAGAGCUCGUAGGUGGUUUGUCGCGUUGUUCGUGAAAUCUCACGGCUUAACUGUGAGCGUGCGGGCGAUACGGGCAGACUAGAGUACUGCAGGGGAGACUGGAAUUCCUGGUGUGGCGGUGGAAUGCGCAGAUAUCAGGAGGAACACCGGUGGCGAAGGCGGGUCUCUGGGCAGUAACUGACGCUGAGGAGCGAAAGCGUGGGGAGCGAACAGG
rnacentral:rRNA from 1 species